ACUCAAAUGAAUUGACGGGGACCCGCACAAGCAGCGGAGCAUGUGGUUUAAUUCGACGCAACGCGAAGAACCUUACCUGGGCUUGACAUGUGCCUGACCGCCCUGGAAACAGGGUUUCCCUUCGGGGCAGGUUCACAGGUGGUGCAUGGCUGUCGUCAGCUCGUGUCGUGAGAUGUUGGGUUAAGUCCCGCAACGAGCGCAACCCCCGUCGUAUGUUGCCAGCAUUUAGUUGGGGACUCAUGCGAGACUGCCGGUGACAAACCGGAGGAAGGUGGGGAUGACGUCAAGUCAUCAUGCCCCUUAUGUCCAGGGCUACACACGUGCUACAUUGGCGCGUACAGAGGGCUGCGAUACCGCGAGGUGGAGCGAAUCCCUCAAAGCGCGUCUCGGUUCGGAUUGCAGGCUGAAACUCGCCUGCAUGAAGGUGGAGUUGCUAGUAAUCGCGGAUCAGCAUCGCCGCGGUGAAUACGUUCCCGGGUCUUGUACACACCGCCCGU
rnacentral:rRNA from 1 species